UACGUAGGGGGCAAGCGUUGUCCGGAAUCAUUGGGCGUAAAGAGCGCGUAGGCGGUCCGGUAAGUCCGCUGUGAAAGUCAAGGGCUCAACCCUUGAAUGCCGGUGGAUACUGUCGGGCUAGAGUCCGGAAGAGGCGAGUGGAAUUCCUGGUGUAGCGGUGAAAUGCGCAGAUAUCAGGAGGAACACCAAUGGCGAAGGCAGCUCGCUGGGACGGUA
rnacentral:rRNA from 1 species